UCGUGCUUUGCGGCACGAGUUGUAGAUUGCAGGUUGGAGUCUGUGUGGAAGGCGGUGUCCAAGUCCCUUGGAACAGGGCGCCCAGGAGGGUGAGAGCCCCGUGGGAUGCCGGCGGAAGCAGUGAGGCCCUUCUGACGAGUCGAGUUGUUUGGGAAUGCAGCUCCAAGCGGGUGGUAAAUUCCAUCUAAGGCUAAAUACUGGCGAGAGACCGAUAGCGAACAAGUACUGUGAAGGAAAGAUGAAAAGCACUUUGAAAAGAGAGUGAAACAGCACGUGAAAUUGUUGAAAGGGAAGGGUAUUGCGCCCGACAUGGGGAUUGCGCACCGCUGCCUCUCGUGGGCGGCGCUCUGGGCUUUCCCUGGGCCAGCAUCGGUUCUUGCUGCAGGAGAAGGGGUUCUGGAACGUGGCUCUUCGGAGUGUUAUAGCCAGGGCCAGAUGCUGCGUGCGGGGACCGAGGACUGCGGCCGUGUAGGUCACGGAUGCU
rnacentral:rRNA from 1 species